CCUACGGGAGGCUGCAGUGAGGAAUAUUGGUCAAUGGACGGAAGUCUGAACCAGCCAUGCCGCGUGCAGGAAGACGGCUCUAUGAGUUGUAAACUGCUUUUGUACAAGGGUAAACCUGGAUACGUGUAUUCAGCUGAAAGUACUUUAUGAAUAAGGAUCGGCUAACUCCGUGCCAGCAGCCGCGGUAAUACGGAGGAUCCAAGCGUUAUCCGGAUUUAUUGGGUUUAAAGGGUGCGUAGGUGGCAUAAUAAGUAGCUAGUGAAAUCUGGUGGCUCAACCAUUCAGACUAUUAGCUAAACUGGUAGGCUCGAGACCGUUAGAGGUAACUGGAAUUUCUAGUGUAGGAGUGAAAUGCGUAGAUAUUAGAAGGAACCCCGAUUGCGUAGGCAGCUUACUGGGACGGUUCUGACACUGAUGCACGAAAGCGUAGGGAGCAAACGGGAUUAGAUACCCCAGUAGUC
rnacentral:rRNA from 1 species